GGCGAGGCCUCCAGAGCCAAAGAACCAGCCCAAUAGCUCCAGAGACUAAGUCCCGAUUUAUUCAAUUAUUUUUGCGGGCCGGGCGGCAGGCUCCAGGAGGGCGCUCCCCGAGCCCCAAGCCGAGACAGUGAGCCAAACUGGGACUGGUCGGGGCCAGGUCCCCUUACUCCUGGAAGCCCCUAAGUCCCACCCGGGUUGACCAAGGGUUGACCAUGGGCAGAGUUGUUCUAGGUUGACCAUGGGCAGAGUUGCUGUAGGUUGACCAUGGGCAGAGCUGUGCUAGGUUGACCAUGGGCUAGGUUGACCAUGGGUAGUAGAUUUUCAGCACUCCAGAGACUAAGUCCCUAUUUAUAUAAUUAUUUUUGCGGGCCAGGCGGCAGGCUCCAGGAGGGCGCUCCCCGAGCACCACACAUCCAAGGAAGGCAGCAGGCGCGCAAAUUACCCAUUACCGACACGGUGAGGUAGUGACAAAAAAUAACAAUACAGGUCUCUUUCGAGGCCCUGUAAUUGGAAUGAGCGUAUCGUAAACCCAUGGGCGAGGACCCAUUGGAGGGCAAGUCUGGUGCCAGCAGCCACGGUAAUUCCAGCUCCAAUGGCGUAUAUUAAAGUUGCUGCAGUUAAAAAGCUAGUUGGAUUUCGGGAGUGGGCUGGCGGUCCGCCGCGAGGCGUGCCACCGUCUGUCCCGUACCCCUGCCUCCCGGCGCUCCCCGGAUGCCCUUAGCUGGGUGUCCGACGGGGCCCGGAGCGUUUACUUUGAAAAAAUUAGAGUGUUCAAAGCAGACCGCAGCACGCCUGAAUACCGCAGCUAGGAAUAAUGGAAUAGGACUCUAUUAUAUUCUAUUUUGUGGGUUUUCGGAACCAGGGCCAUGAUUAAGAGGGACGGCCGGGGGCAUUCGUAUUGCGCCGCUAGAGGUGAAAUUCUGGACGGACGAAAGCGAAAGCAUUUGCCAAGAACGAAAAUCGGAGGUUCGAAGACGAUCAGAUACCGUCGUAGUUCCGACUGUAAACGAUGCCGACCCGCGAUCCGGCGGCGUUAUUCCCAUGACCCGCCGGGCAGCGUGCGGGAAACCACGAGUCUUUGGGUUCCGGGUGGAGUAUGGUUGCAAAGCUGAAACUUAAAGGAAUUGACGGAAGGGCACCACCAGGAGUGGAGCCUGCGGCUUAAUUUGACUCAACACGGGAAACCUCACACGGCCCGGACACGGAAAGGAUUGACAGAUUGAUAGCUCUUUCUCGAUUCUGUGGGUGGUGGUGCAUGGCCGUUCUUAGUUGGUGGAACGAUUUGUCUGGUUAAGUCUGAUAAUGAAUGAGACUCCUCCAUGCUAAAUAGUUACGCGGCCCCCGGUGGUCGGGCCCACGAAUACAGAAAAUAUGGCAGGACUUAAUCUUGUAACCAUGAACCAUGAGAAUGAAAAACAGACACAAAUGAUUCAUUUUAAAUAGAAGAACACUGCUGAGAAUUGGGAACUGAUCCAGUAUUACCAGCCAAACUAUGUGUUUAGCACUCAUUAUAAAAAAAAACCUUGGGGAAAGGAGCUGUGCUGAUGUGCUGCUUUGAAGUCAGUGAAAGUCUCAAAAGUCUAUGAAAGUCUCAAAAGUCUGAUAAGCCAGGCUGUCAGCUGAUGAUGUUAUCUCUGCUCCAUCAUGCCCAGCUGGAAUAGUUGUGUUUAAAUGUAAAGGUUCACUGACAUGGACUCACAGCGA
rnacentral:rRNA from 1 species